ACACGUACUGUGCAAACGUUAUUCGGAAUCACUGGGCUUAAAGGGUGCGUAGGCGGCUAAUUAAGUAGGGUGUGAAAUACCUCGACUCAACCGGGGAACUGCGCUCUAAACUGGUUAGCUUGAGUGAGAUAGGGGUGUGCGGAACUUCCAGUGGAGCGGUGAAAUGUGUUGAUAUUGGAAGGAACGCCGGUGGCGAAAGCGGCACACUGGGUCUCAACUGACGCUGAGGCACGAAAGCCAGGGUAGCGAACGGGAUUAGAAACCCCAGUAGUCC
rnacentral:rRNA from 1 species